ACAGCUUUUCAGUAACCGAGUUUUGUUAGUUUCCCCAACCGAGUUUGUUAGCCUCCUUUGAGUUGUAGGCGUGAUAUUUCGGCAGUUUGCAUGGUUUCGGCAUAAUUUUUUCUUCUUCACAAGUCGUCAAAGUUACUCCUGAUUUUGAGCAGCUAUUGCGUUUGUCCCCUGCAGGAUUGUCUCCCAUUUGAAAUGGUGUUGACCUAAAAUUCCUCGCAGAGUUGAUAGCAGUUUCCUCAGCGAAUCUUUUCC
rnacentral:lncRNA from 1 species